rnacentral:rRNA from 1 species
AGCGAACGCUGGCGGCGGGCUUAGCACAUGCAAGUCGAGCGGGCACUUUCGGGUGUCAGCGGCGGACGGGUGAGUAACGCGUGGGAACGUGCCCUCUGGUUCGGAAUAACUCAGGGAAACUUGAGCUAAUACCGGAUACGCCCUUUUGGGGAAAGGCUUGCUGCCGGAGGAUCGGCCCGCGUCUGAUUAGCUAGUUGGUGAGGUAACGGCUCACCAAGGCGACGAUCAGUAGCUGGUCUGAGAGGAUGAUCAGCCACACUGGGACUGAGACACGGCCCAGACUCCUACGGGAGGCAGCAGUGGGGAAUAUUGGACAAUGGGCGCAAGCCUGAUCCAGCCAUGCCGCGUGAGUGAUCAAGGCCUUAGGGUUGUAAAGCUCUUUUAUCCGGGACGAUAAUGACGGUACCGGAGGAAUAAGCCCCGGCUAACUUCGUG